AUACUUAUCUGGCAGGGGAGAUACCAUGAUCAAGAAGGUGUUUUCACCAGGGUGAGGCUCAUUCGUUGUACUUUGGAUGUGCCCACCGAAACUUGUGAUUUCCCCAAUAUGAGAAACUCACAUUUGUGGUAGUGGGGGGCUGCUUUUGCACUCUCCCCAU